UACAGAGGGCUCAAGCGUUGUUCGGAUUCAUUGGGCGUAAAGGGUGUGUAGGUGGCGCCGUAAGUCGGGCGUGAAAUUUCGGAGCUUAACUCCGAAACUGCAUUCGAUACUGCGGUGCUUGAGGACUGGAGAGGAGACUGGAAUUCAUGGUGUAGCAGUGAAAUGCGUAGAGAUCAUGAGGAAGACCAGUGGCGAAGGCGGGUCUCUGGACAGUUCCUGACACUGAGACACGAAGGCCAGGGGAGCAAACGGG
rnacentral:rRNA from 1 species